rnacentral:sRNA from 1 species
CUUGUAGCAGUGCAAUCCCAUACAAACACAGAAAUCGCAUAUUCCCCAUGGGGAAGGCCGAGAACCUUCGAUAAGGUUCGAGUUGAGCGCAGCGAAACAACGUCGCUUGCGACGGCCCGCAGGGCGAAGAGCGUAGCGAUGAGUUAUCCUUCCCCCACCACCA